GAUGAACGCUGGCGGCGUGCCUAAUACAUGCAAGUCGAGCGAACGGACGAGAAGCUUGCUUCUCUGAUGUUAGCGGCGGACGGGUGAGUAACACGUGGAUAACCUACCUAUAAGACUGGGAUAACUUCGGGAAACCGGAGCUAAUACCGGAUAAUAUUUUGAACCGCAUGGUUCAAAAGUGAAAGACGGUCUUGCUGUCACUUAUAGAUGGAUCCGCGCUGCAUUAGCUAGUUGGUAAGGUAACGGCUUACCAAGGCAACGAUGCAUAGCCGACCUGAGAGGGUGAUCGGCCACACUGGAACUGAGACACGGUCCAGACUCCUGCGGGAGGCAGCAGUAGGGAAUCUUCCGCAAUGGGCGAAAGCCUGACGGAGCAACGCCGCGUGAGUGAUGAAGGUCUUCGGAUCGUAAAACUCUGUUAUUAGGGAAGAACAUAUGUGUAAGUAACUGUGCACAUCUUGACGGUACCUAAUCAGAAAGCCACGGCUAGCUACGUG
rnacentral:rRNA from 1 species